GACGAACGCUGGCGGCGUGCUUAACACAUGCAAGUCGAACGGAAAGGCCCUGCUUUUGUGGGGUGCUCGAUUGGCGAACGGGUGAGUAACACGUGAGUAACCUGCCCUUAACUUUGGGAUAACUUCAGGAAACUGGGGCGAAUAACCCGUAUGAUCUCCUGCUGCAUAUUGUGGGUUGGAAAGUUUCGGCGGUUGGGUAUGGACUCGCUGAUUAACAGCUUGUUUGUGGGGUAGUGGCUUACCAGGCCUUUGACGGGUAGCCGGCCUGAGAGGGUGAACAGGCACAUUGGGACUGCGAUAGGCAGCAGAAGGCAACCGGAGGCAGUGGUGGGAAAUAUUGCACAAUGGGGGGAAGCCUGAUGUAGAAACGCCGCGUGCGGGAAGCUGGCUUUCGGGUUGUAAACAGCUUUCGCAUGUGACGAAGAGUGAGUGACGGUAAUGGGUAAAGAAGCACCGGCUAACUACGUG
rnacentral:rRNA from 1 species